rnacentral:rRNA from 1 species
CAUGCCGUAAACGAUGUCUACUAGCCGUUGGGGCCUUUGAGGCUUUAGUGGCGCAGCUAACGCGAUAAGUAGACCGCCUGGGGAGUACGGUCGCAAGACUAAAACUCAAAUGAAUUGACG